rnacentral:rRNA from 1 species
UACGGAGGGUGCGAGCGUUGUCCGGAAUCACUGGGCGUAAAGGGCGCGUAGGCGGCGCGGGGAGUCAACGGUGAAAGCUCGGCGCUCAACGCCGAGUCGGCCGUCGAUACUCCCGUGCUCGAGCACUGUAGAGGCAGGUGGAAUUCCGGGUGUAGCGGUGGAAUGCGUAGAGAUCCGGAAGAACACCGAUGGCGAAGGCAGAUCUCUGGGCCGUAACUGACGCUGACGGAGCGAAAGCAUGGGGAGACGAACGAGGA